rnacentral:rRNA from 1 species
GAUUGGAUCAGGUAGGGAUACCCGCUGAACUUAAGCAUAUCAAUAAGCGGAGGAAAAGAAACCAACAGGGAUUGCCCUAGUAACGGCGAGUGAAGCGGCAACAGCUCAAAUUUGAAAUCUGGCGCAAGCCCGAGUUGUAAUUUGUAGAGGAUGCUUCUGGGCAGCGGCCGGUCUAAGUUCCUUGGAACAGGACGUCAUAGAGGGUGAGAAUCCCGUAUGUGACCGGCUGGCACCCUCCACGUAGCUCCUUCGACGAGUCGAGUUGUUUGGGAAUGCAGCUCUAAAUGGGAGGUAAAUUUCUUCUAAAGCUAAAUACCGGCCAGAGACCGAUAGCGCACAAGUAGAGUGAUCGAAAGAUGAAAAGCACUUUGGAAAGAGGGUUAAAAAGCACGUGAAAUUGUUGAAAGGGAAGCGCUUGCGACCAGACUUGUCGGCGGUGUUCCGCCGGUCUUCUGACCGGUUCACUCGCCGUCGGCAGGCCAGCAUCAUCUGGGGCCGCCGGAUAAAGGCUUGGGGAAUGUAGCUCCCUUCGGGGAGUGUUAUAGCCCCUUGCACAAUACGGCGCGCCCCGGGUGAGGUCCGCGUCUCGGCAAGGAUGCUGGCGUAAUGGUCGUAAGCGGCCCGUCUUGAAACACGGACCAAGGAGUCGAUUAUCUAUGCGAGUGUUCGGGCGUCAAACCCCUACGCGUAAUGAAAGUGAACGGAGGUGGGAACCUUCGGGUGCACCAUCGACCGAUCCGGAUGUCUUCGGAUGGAUUUGAGUAAGAGCAUAGCUAAUCGGACCCGAAAGAUGGUGAACUAUGCCUGAAUAGGGUGAAGCCAGAGGAAACUCUGGUGGAGGCUCGCAGCGGUUCUGACGUGCAAAUCGAUCGUCAAAUUUGGGUAUAGGGGCGAAAGACUAAUCGAACCAUCUAGUAGCUGGUUCCUGCCGAAGUUUCCCUCAGGAAAU